CACAGGUUGAGAACCGCUGCCUUAGAGGGUUGGUGAAAGGGAACCCACAGGAAGGAGGACUCAGCCUUGGGUGGGACCCACAACCAAGAUGGGACCUUUGAAGGCAUCUGAGGUCGUAGAAGACUUGGGGACCCACAGGGUCAGAGCUCCCGUGGGUGCCUGCAGCUACAUGUUGGGGGUCAGAACACCUCUGUGGUCACCACCAAGGCCCGAGAGGAUGAAAGGUGUGGCCUCCAGUCCAGGACUAUCAUAUUUGACCAUAAGGAAGUGACAUGUGGCAGAGGGUGGGGACACCACCAAGGAGGAAACGUCCCAGCGGCUCUGCUGUGCGGAGACGUGUGGCCGUCAGAGGAGCAGCCAUGUGCUCUGAGAAGAGGCAGCAGCCUCUCUGAGGCCACGGGCCCUGUCCUGUCACUGGGGUUGAGAGCAGAAGCCCAGGGUGCCGAGAGCCGGGGGUCUGCAGCCGCCUGUGCAGCUCCUGACCGUAAGCUUCCUGCGCCCUGACCAUCCAGCAUCGGACUCAAAUCUGGGCUGGACACGGUAGCAGAGAGGCCCAGAAAAGCGGAAGUGGGCACAGGGUAAUCGAACCCUCAUUGAGGAGGCUUGACCGUGUCCACCCAUAGGACCUGGCGCUGCUGCAGGCUGUGUCUGUGCGGAGACAUGACCCUGAGGAGUGGGUCCACGUGGCUGCCUUCAGCUCUGCUCCUUCUCCAGGUCCCAGGCUGUUUGUCUCUGAGUGGCCCCGGGCACGUGACAGGCACCGUGGGGGGAUCACUGAGCGUGCAGUGUCGGUACGAGAAGGAGUUCAAGGAAAAUAACAAAUACUGGUGCAAAAGCCCAUGUUUGGCAUCGCUGAGGACGAAGAUUGUGGAGACCACAGAGUCAGAGAGAGAAGUGAGGCGCGGCCGUGUGUCCAUCAGGGACCAUCCAGCAACCCUCACCUUCACAGUGACCUUGGAGAGCCUCACAGAGGGCGAUGGAGGCACUUACAGGUGUGGGAUCCAUAGACCAUGGACAGAAAGACUUAUAGACCUCACCUUCCCGGUUGAGGUGUCUGUGUCCCCAGGUCGCUGUGCUUGUUGCCUGAGAGCCCAGUGAACAUCACCUUCCUGCUGACGGUGGCUCUGGCUGCUCACUUCCUCCUUGAAGUUCUUGGUUUCUCACUCUCAUGUGGGAGGUUCCCUCACUGGCCUUUGUGUCUGCCUAUCCCCCACCCUGAAGAUCAUCACAAGCACCCUGGCACCUCCAAGCACCCUGGGUCCUCCAAGCACCUUAGGACCUCCAAGCACCCUGGUAUCUCCAAGCACCCUGGGACCUUCAAGCACCCUGGGUCCUCCAAGCACCCUGGACCCUCCCUCCUCCCUGCCAGUGACCACCGGGCCCAGCAUGACCAGCCAGGAGACUCCUGAUGCCAGACAACACCCUCGGUCCCUGCUCAGCAGUGUCCACUUCCUGCUCCUGGUCUUCCUGAAGGUGCCCCUGCUCCUGAGCAUGCUCGGUGCCGUCCUGUGGGUGAACCGGCCUCAGCGGAGCUCUGGGGGGAGGCAGAGUCAGCCCUGCUCUGAGAACCAGUGACACCUACUCUUUCGAUGCCCCGCCCAAGAGUACAGACCCACUGUGGGAGGAAGGACCUUCUGACCAAUCAAUCCAGUGUCAUUGUCCAAGAUUCUGUCGGAAUAGUCUGUGAACCUAUUAGAGAGUUUUUUCUUUCAAUGUAUCAGAUACACACAAAAGAUACCUAAUAAAUGCAUACU